rnacentral:lncRNA from 1 species
ACGCCAUUAUAAUCGAUGCUAUUACAUCAUCAUUGAAGCUAAGCUCAUCGUCCGACGUUAAUUUAGAUGCUGGCAAUUGAGACUACCCGUGAUAGUAUACUAGGUACAUUUGUAAUACCAUUUUAUCUCCGCUGUCAUAAUACGUGAAGUCUUGCUUGAGAAUGCUCCAAGUAUCUGGCUAUGGAAGGAAGAAUGGAAAUUACAAUGACAAAAUCCUAAUUCUAAUAGAAUACUAACAAUACUCUAAUUAGACCAUAAUAAUGCUAAUCAAGCUUAAUCAAAUUCAAAAAAGACCUCAAAGAAAUUUCAAACAAAAAAUAUGAAUUCUUAAAGAAAUAUUAGAAGGAUCACAAAUAUCACUCAAAUACAUCUCAAUUCAAUCUUAAUUUAAUUCUAGUUAAAAUCUUAUUGAAUUUCAUUCAAACUUUAGGCCAAAAAUAAUUGAAUCUUAAAUCCUAAUAAAAUCCUAAACCCUAAAUCAAACCAUAAACAAACCUUAAACCAAAUUCCAACCAAAUCCUAAACCAAAUCUUAACCAAACUCUAAUCCUAAAUCAAACCCUAAUCAAAUCCUAAAUCCUAAAUAAAAUCCUAAUCAAAUCCUAAACCAAAUCCUAAUCAAAUCCUAACCAAAUCUUAAAUCCUAAUCCAAAUUCUCAAUCCUAAAUAAAUCCUAAAUCCAAAUCCUAAACCAAAUCCUAAACUCUAAAUCAAAUCCU